GAAAGCCUGCGUGCAGCAGCGAAAACCCAACGCAGCCAAAAAUAAAAUUUUUUUUAAAUAAAAAUAAAAAGGGGAGACAGCCGGCUGAGAGCUGCAGCACUGGCUGCCCCAGGGCACAAGUUCCUCCCAGCAGCUUUGUUCACUGAUUCAACGGACUGUUUACUGAGCCCCUCUGUGUGUCAAGUGCAGCCUGAUCACCCAACUUCCUGAUCUUCACAUUCUCUUUUUUCCCAGACAAGUUGUGGUACAAAGAGCAAUGUGAUUCCUACUGUCCAGCUUUUGUUGGUCUGGAGCAGAGAAGGGAUUGGUGCAGAGCUCCCAUUGCUCCUAAGGUCAUUUGUCCCAUCAGCCCAGGGAACCCCUUGUGUGUGCUUUCCCAGCAGGAAUCAAGAAGCAAAGAACCGCACCCCCAGGUAUGCUUGUCCCCGGCACUGGAUUGAUAAUUUUUAUUAUCUCAAAAUCUCCCCAUUUGAAAUGGCUCUCAGGAGGCCCUGUGCACCAUUCCACUCAUCCUCUAAGGGGACACAAGUCAACUUGAUCAGUUGCCCCCAAAUUAGGGCAUUUUCUCCUGCUGAUUUUGGGCUAGGAAGCUGAGAGGAACCACACUCCGCCCAGAGGUGGCGCUGUUGACAUGCCUUGUUCACAGAAAGUCUGAAAUUUGAGAGCAAGCAAGAAAAGUCAAAAAAAAAAAAAGUCAAAAGAGGUGGCUAUUAGACUUGCAAAGGUGGUGCAACCAUGACCCCCUGUCGUUACACUUCUGGACACAAGGUAGGUCAAGUUAAGCUAGCCCAGCCCUUUCCUGUUCCUUUUCUCAGGAAAUGUAAGCACAUGCAGUAGGAAGCUUCAUGUAAAAUAAGUAUGGGUGGGAGCCAACUGCCCAGGAUCGAUGUCUUAAAAUUUUGAAGCAACUUGCUUAUUAUGGCGUAUUUUCCGAGGAGCUUUGUUUCUUUCAAAGGUGGGAGGGGGCGGGUGACCUAGAAAGGUUUGUGUUAGUGAUGUGUUGAACUCCAUAUCCUUUGGGAAGUAGGUUUCAAAUGCAAAUUAUCUUGAUGCAAAGGCAAGAAUUAAUCUGCUCCAGAAACUUGCAGGUGCUUGAAACAUCUGUUAGGAACGUCAGUGCCGCUUUUGUUUCUACAGUGGGAUGGAGGGGAAUUGGGCGUAUUCAUCAGCGCGAGACUCAUUUGAUUUCAGGGCAACUAGAAUGGUGGAGAGCCUCCAACAAGAUCCAGAUUUACUACUUUAAUUUCGUUAUGCUUUUGACAGUGUCAGAAUCUGAGACUUCAGGCUUUCUUUUCUGGGGUCCAUCCUCAGAAAUGGAAGACAAAGCGUACCCGCCCUGGCUGCACCAAAACAGCAACCCUUGUGCUGGCCGAGGAUUUGGCAUCAUGCUGGGGAUUUGCAAAGGCAAUCUGCUCGUGUCCCCCAUCAUCAUGACACUUCUGGACACAGAUUCAGGAUCUGAGGCACAGAAGGAUGACAUGGCUGGAUGCAGGUGGAGUUCCAAGCCUAGAGUCUAUCUCUUCAUCCCUGCUGGUGUGUCUGAGUACAGGUUACUGAAAACAAAGUCCAGGUGGAAAGCAAACUCCUUGCGAAGAAUUUCAAUGCAGUCCAAACAAAUUCAGAAAAUCCUUGAAUUCUGUGUCCUUCCACGGGUGAUGCUGAAUACCCUCCAUGUCUCUUUCCAGGCAGGUGCCCAGCGUGCCAGGCACGCAGCUCUCAUCGCUUCCCUUUCUGAUACCCUCUCAUUACUUUUAAUUGCAUCUGAGCCUCUCUAGCAUCUUGUAUUUUGAUUCCUAAUCCAGGGCAUUUCUCUGCCUCCCACUGGUCCAGCACAGCACUUUCCUCUCUCGGAGCUCUCCAGAGAAGUGCCCCCAGAAAAUGGAACUGGUCUUUUGUAAUGAAUUCAUCUUUGUAAUGAAUAGUAUAAUAUCCAAGUCCCGGCAUAUUUACAUAGCAAUCUCCACACAAAAGCAACAUUACAAAGGGAAGAUUUUUAAAAGAAUGCCAUCUCAGCUCCAUUUCCCUUAGUACUAAGAACACUAUGGGAAUUACCCUGACAAGAAAAGAAAAACGACUUCCAGGGAUGCUGGGUUAGAGACAAUAGCUACACCAGCUCCAUUAAUGUUUAAAGUCAAUGGAGCAUAAAACUGCUUUUCUCUACUUACUGGCAGGCAUCAUCUUACAGAGAGGAGAAAAAAAAAUUCCCAUUUAUUUAACUCUGCUGAAAUCCAUAAGCCCUCCCCUAAUUUUCAUUCCCCUUGAAAUUCUCCAGUAAGUACCAUCAGAAUGAAAAUGAAAAUCACUCUCUCUGAGGGAAAUGGCUUUCAGUCCUCAUCAGUAAAGCGUGUGAAGAGCCCUCCACAGAGAUGCAGGAGGAAGGCUGCUUGUUGGGAAAGGAUCUGUCAGCAAAACCUGCAGAACUAGUUGUAGGGGGUCACACCUUGGGAUUUGGGAGCCUUUGGGCUGACUUCAAGAAGGCCUUAAUCAAUCCCAGGUCAGGGUGGUCCCGGGGCAGAAUUCAGGGACAAGGCAGUUUCAAGGGAGUAAUGCCUUGGGGGUACGUUUUACUUAGUGGGCUGUAAGGGGGAAACUUUAUCAUGAAUAUAUUAGCUGAUUCCCUCAGGGAAUCGCUGGAAUUAAGCCAGGCCUCUGUGAGUAAACCAUUGGACCUAAUCCCACGUUACAUUUGUGUAAUGCCUGACAAAGCCUGCUCCCAUUAUCUUAUUUGAUCCUGAAAGCAAUCCUCAGAGGGAGGCAGGGCUGGGAUUACUUUUUCCAUUUUACAUGUGUUUUCGCUUGUAAACUGAUUUGCCAGGAGCCACACACCCAGACGCGGCAGGAAUGAGACGUGAAUCUCUUUAGGUCUUGGUACAACCUGUUCAAGGUUUUUCUCGACUUCGCACACAGACUGAUCAUAAUAUUCCCAGCCCCACCCAGUCCUUACAACCUUUGGCUUAACCAGCAGCUGGGAGCUGCUCAGGGCAGAGCUUGUGUUUACAGUGCCCAAACACCUCUGUCCUGAAGAACUACAGCCCUGCCUGACAAGCUCUGUGGUGGGAAAAAAAUCGUAUCAUCUCCCUGCACCAGUGACCAAAAUGAAUCCAGAUAGAUUUGAAAAAAAUCAAGGCACUAGAAAAAUCUCAGGAAAAUAGAACGUAAUAUUUAAUAACUUUCUGGAGGCAAGAAGACUAAAUUUAGCAUUGUGUUAGAAGUUUCAAAGGAAGGUACUUUAUGUAGAUUUGACUAUAUUUAAGUUUUAGUGAAAAAAAAACCUCCACAGGGCCAACAAAAACCGAAGAAAUAUUCACAGCAAACUAUGAAAGAAAAGAGUGAACUUCUGGCAUGUAGAGGAGUCAUGCAAAUACAAAAGAAAAAAAUCAAUAGGAAAAACUUAUUAGAGAACUAUUCA